rnacentral:rRNA from 1 species
UCCAGAGUUUGAUCAUGGCUCAGGAUGAACGCUGGCGGCGUGCCUAAUACAUGCAAGUCGAGCGAACUGACGAGGAGCUUGCUCCUUUGACGUUAGCGGCGGACGGGUGAGUAACACGUGGGUAACCUACCUAUAAGACUGGAAUAACUCCGGGNAACCGGGGCUAAUGCCGGAUAACAUGUUGAACCGCAUGGUUCAACAGUGAAAGACGGUCUUGCUGUCACUUAUAGAUGGACCCGCGCCGUAUUAGCUAGUUGGUAAGGUAACGGCUUACCAAGGCGACGAUACGUAGCCGACCUGAGAGGGUGAUCGGCCACACUGGAACUGAGACACGGUCCAGACUCCUACGGGAGGCAGCAGUAGGGAAUCUUCCGCAAUGGGCGAAAGCCUGACGGAGCAACGCCGCGUGAGUGAUGAAGGUCUUCGGAUCGUAAAGCUCUGUUGUUAGGGAAGAACAUAUGUGUAAGUAACUGUGCACAUCUUGACGGUACCUAACCAGAAAGCCACGGCUAACUACGUGCCAGCAGCCGCGGUAAUACGUAGGUGGCAAGCGUUAUCCGGAAUUAUUGGGCGUAAAGCGCGCGUAGGCGGUUUUUUAAGUCUGAUGUGAAAGCCCACGGCUCAACCGUGGAGGGUCAUUGGAAACUGGAAAACUUGAGUGCAGGAGAGGAAAGUGGAAUUCCAUGUGUAGCGGUGAAAUGCGCAGAAGAUAUGGAGGAACACCAGUGGCGAAGGCGGCUUUUCUGGUCUGUAACUGACGCUGAGGUGCGAAAGCGUGGGGAUCAAACAGGAUUAGAUACCCUGGUAGUCCACGCCGUAAACGAUGAGUGCUAAGUGUUAGGGGGUUUCCGCCCCUUAGUGCUGCAGCUAACGCAUUAAGCACUCCGCCUGGGGAGUACGGUCGCAAGACUGAAACUCAAAGGAAUUGACGGGGACCCGCACAAGCGGUGGAGCAUGUGGUUUAAUUCGAAGCAACGCGAAGAACCUUACCAAAUCUUGACAUCUUUUGACCGCUCUAGAGAUAGAGUUUUCCUCUUCGGAGGACAAAAUGACAGGUGGUGCAUGGUUGUCGUCAGCUCGUGUCGUGAGAUGUUGGGUUAAGUCCCGCAACGAGCGCAACCCUUAAGCUUAGUUGCCAUCAUUAAGUUGGGCACUCUAAGUUGACUGCCGGUGACAAACCGGAGGAAGGUGGGGAUGACGUCAAAUCAUCAUGCCCCUUAUGAUUUGGGCUACACACGUGCUACAAUGGACAAUACAAAGGGCAGCAAAACCGCGAGGUCAAGCAAAUCCCAUAAAGUUGUUCUCAGUUCGGAUUGUAGUCUGCAACUCGACUACAUGAAGCUGGAAUCGCUAGUAAUCGUAGAUCAGCAUGCUACGGUGAAUACGUUCCCGGGUCUUGUACACACCGCCCGUCACACCACGAGAGUUUGUAACACCCGAAGCCGGUGGAGUAACCAUUUUGGAAGCUAGCCGUCGAAGGUGGGACAAAUGAUUGGGGUGGAAGUCCGUAACCAGUUAGCGGUUACCGAGGGCGCUGAUCCUUCWCCUCAU